rnacentral:lncRNA from 1 species
CCCCCUUCCCCUCUUCCUCUCCCUCCUCCUCCUCCUCCCCAUCUGUCACCGGGAUCCACAGGCUGCUGCCUCAGAGCCCAUCCCCCAUGGGGCUCCUGUUUCUGCCCAUAUGGUGCCUGUCCCUUGCUGGUUGUCUGGGGGGCUCACCCUCUCUCUCCCUCUCUCUCCCCCCUGACUGUCUAUACUGUCCUGGGAUUCCCUGUAUACCUCUUGAAGGGGCCCCCAUCCCGCAGGUUCUGAAGCUGGGCAACACGGCCACUCCCACUUCCUUCCCAGCUUUAAAAGGGAAAAUAUUCAUGGUUCUACCCUUAGCUCCUAGAUGCCUGAGAGACAAACGUCACCGCCUGUCAGUCUGCCUGGAGCUGGCUCAGACCUGGUCUCUGGGGACUGUUUCCCAGCCUGAGAAACAUCUCCUCCUUCCUUCUGAGCCU